UACAGAGGUCUCAAGCGUUGUUCGGAUUCAUUGGGCGUAAAGGGUGCGUAGGCGGCGCGGUAAGUCGGGUGUGGAAUCUCGGAGCUUAACUCCGAAACUGCAUUCGAUACUGCCGUGCUUGAGGACUGGAGAGGAGACUGGAAUUUACGGUGUAGCGGUGAAAUGCGUAGAUAUCGUAAGGAAGACCAGUGGCGAAGGCGGGUCUCUGGACAGUUCCUGACGCUGAGGCACGAAGGUCAGGGGAGCAAACGGG
rnacentral:rRNA from 1 species